AUUUUCCGGUUGAUCCUGCCGGACCCCACUGCCAUCGGGAUAGGACUAAGACAUGCUAGUCGAGCGCUUCAGCCAAAACGAGGCGCGGCAUACAGCUCAGUAACACGUGGCUAAUCUGCCCUUAGGACAGGAACAACCCCGGGAAACUGGGGCUAAUUCUCAAUAGGCGAAGAACUCUGGAAUGAGUCUUCACCAGAAAAGAGCCUGCGUUAUGCUCGUAGGUUUCGCCUAAGGAUGAGGCCGCGACCGAUCAGGUUGUUGGUGAGGUAAUGGCUCACCAAGCCUUUUACCGGUGCGGGCCGUGAGAGCGGGAGCCCGGAGAUGGGCACUGAGACAAGGGCCCAGGCCCUACGGGGCGCAGCAGUCGCGAAAACUUUGCAAUACACGCAAGUGUGACAGGGCUAUCCCGAGUGCCAUCCGCUGAGGAAGGCUUUUACCCAGUCUAGAAAGCUGGGGGAAUAAGGAGAGGGCAAGUCUGGUGUCGGCCGCCGCGGUAAUACCAGCUCUCCGAGUGGUGUGGAUGUUUAUUGGGCCUAAAGCAUCCGUAGCUGGCUAGGUCAGUCCCUUGUUAAAUCCACCGAAUUAAUCGUUGGAUUGCGGGGGAUACUGCCUGGCUAGGGAACGAGAGAGGCAGACGGUAUUUUCGGGGUAGGGGUGAAAUCCUAUAAUCCCGGGAAGACCACCAGUGGCGAAGGCUGUCUGCUAGAACGCGUCCGACGGUGAGGGAUGAAAGCUGGGGGAGCGAACCGGAUUAGAUACCCGGGUAGUCCCAGCUGUAAACGAUGCAGGCUAGGUGUUUGGACGGCCACGUGCCGUUCUAGUGCCGCAGGGAAGCUGUUGAGCCUGCCGCCUGGGGAGUACGAUCGCAAGAUUGAAACUUAAAGGAAUUGGCGGGGGAGCACCACAAGGGGUGAAGCUUGCAUUUAAUUGGAUUCAACGCCGGGAAU
rnacentral:rRNA from 1 species